UAACAGAGAGUUUGAUCCUGGCUCGGGUCGAACGCUGGCGGGAUGCUUUUACAUGCAAGUCGAACGGCAGCACGGACUUCGGUCACGGUGGCGAGUGGCGAACGGGUGAGUAAUGUAUCCGGAACGUGCCUGGUAGCGGGGGAUAACUACGCGAAAGCGUAGCUAAUACCGCAUACGCCCUUCAGGGAAAGCGAGGACCUUCGGGCCUCGCACUAUUAGAAGCAGCCGAUAUCGGAUUAGCUAGUUGGUGGGGUAACGGCUCACCAAGGCGAUGAUCCGUAGCUGGUUUCAGAGAGGACGACCAGCCACACUGGGACUGAGACACGGCCCAGACUCCUGCAGGAGGCAGCAGUGGGGAAUUUUUUGGACAAUGAAACUGGUCAGCCAUCCCGCGUGUGCGAUGAAGGCCUUCGGGUUGUAGGCACUUUUGGCAGAGGAAAGAAACGGCACAGGAUAAUACGAUGCAACUGACGGUACCUGCAGAAUAAGCACCGGCUAACUACGUGCCAGCAGCCGCGGUAAUACGUAGGGUGCAAGCGUUAAUCGGAAUUACUGGGCGUAAAGAGUGGCGCAGGCUGGGACACCGGAAAGAAAGAUGUGAGAAUCGACUUAACUUUGGAACUGCGUUUUAACUACCGAGCUAGAGUGUGUCAGAGGGAGGUGGAAUUCGCGUGUAGCAGUGAAAUGCGUAGAUAUGCGGAGGAACACCGAUGGCGAAGGCAGCCUCCUGGGAUAACACUGACGCUCAUGCACGAAAAAACGUGGGGAGCAAACAGGAUUAGACCACCCUGGUGGCGGUCCACGCCCUGGGCGGUGUCGAUGCUAGCUGUUGGGGCAGCUCGGGCCUUGAAGUGGCGCAACUAACGCGUGAAGUUGACCGCCUGCAUAGGGAGAUACGGUCGCAAGAUUAAAACUCAAAGGAAUUGACGAGGUUACACAAAGCGGUGGAUGAUGUGGAUUAAUUCGAUGCAACGCGAAAAAGCCUUACCUACCCUUGACAUGUCUGGAAUCCAGAAGAGAUUUGGGAGUGCUCGCAAGAGAACCGGAACACAGGUGCUGCAUGGCUGUCGUCAGCUCGUGUCGUGAGAUGUUAGGUUAAGUCGCAACGAGCGCAACCCUUGUCAUUAGUUGCACGAAGGGCACUCCUAAUGAGACUGCCGGUGACAAACCGGAGGAAGGUGGGAUGACGUCAGAGUUCCUCAUGGCCGCUCCAUCGGUGGGGCUACACGUCUGAAAACCUACAAUGGUCGGGACAGAGGUCGCCAACCCGCGAAAAGAGGGAGCCAAUCCCCAGAAACCCGAUCGUAGUCCGGAUCGCAGUCUGCAACUCGACUGCGUGAAGUCGGAAUCGCUAGUAAUCGCGGAUCAGCAUGUCGCGGUGAAUACGUUCCCGGGUCUUGUACACACCGCCCGUCACACCAUGAAGACAGGUUUUACCGAAGUGAUUAGCCUAACCGUAGGAGGGCGAUUACCUGGUAGGAUUCAUGGUAGAAUUGAAGUCGUAACAAAAUG
rnacentral:rRNA from 1 species